AUUUAUAUAGUUUAAAAAAAACAUUACACUUUCAUUGUAAAAUUAGAAUCACCCUUAUAAAUA
rnacentral:tRNA from 1 species